rnacentral:rRNA from 1 species
AUACGUAGGGGGCGAGCGUUGUCCGGAAUGAUUGGGCGUAAAGGGCGCGUAGGCGGCCCGGUAAGUCUGGAGUGAAAGUCCUGCUUUUAAGGUGGGAAUUGCUUUGGAUACUGUCGGGCUUGAGUGCAGGAGAGGUAAGUGGAAUUCCCAGUGUAGCGGUGAAAUGCGUAGAGAUUGGGAGGAACACCAGUGGCGAAGGCGACUUACUGGACUGUAACUGACGCUGAGGCGCGAAAGUGUGGGGAGCAAACAGGAUUAGAUACCCUGGUAGUCCACGCCGUAAACGAUGAAUGCUAGGUGUAGGGGGUAUCGACCCCUUCUGUGCCGCAGUUAACACAAUAAGCAUUCCGCCUGGGGAGUACGGCCGCAAGGUUGAAACUCAAAUGAAUUGACGGGG